GAUGAACGCUGGCGGCGUGCCUAAUACAUGCAAGUCGAGCGAACGGACGAGAAGCUUGCUUCUCUGAUGUUAGCGGCGGACGGGUGAGUAACACGUGGAUAACCUACCUAUAAGACUGGGAUAACUUCGGGAAACCGGAGCUAAUACCGGAUAAUAUUUUGAACCGCAUGGUUUAAAAGUGAAAGACGGUCCUGCUGUCACUUAUAGAUGGAUCCGCGCUGCAUUAGCUAGUUGGUAAGGUAACGGCUUACCAAGGCAACGAUGCAUAGCCGACCUGAGAGGGUGAUCGGCCACACUGGAACUGAGACACGGUCCAGACUCCUACGGGAGGCAGCAGUAGGGAAUCUUCCGCAAUGGGCGAAAGCCUGACGGAGCAACGCCGCGUGAGUGAUGAAGGUCUUCGGAUCGUAAAACUCUGUUAUUAGGGAAGAACAUAUGUGUAAGUAACUGUGCACAUCUUGACGGUACCUAAUCAGAAAGCCACGGCUAACUACGUG
rnacentral:rRNA from 1 species